UACGUAGGGACCAAGCGUUGUUCGGAUUUACUGGGCGUAAAGGGCGCGUAGGCGGCGUGGUAAGUCACUUGUGAAAUCUCUGAGCUUAACUCAGAACGGUCAAGUGAUACUGCUGUGCUAGAGUGCGGAAGGGGCAAUCGGAAUUCUUGGUGUAGCGGUGAAAUGCGUAGAGAUCGGAAGGAACACCAGUGGCGAAGGCGGCCGCCUGGGCAGUAACUGACGCUGAGGCGCGAAAGCUAGGGGAGCAAACAGG
rnacentral:rRNA from 1 species